AAUGUCCGCUUUCUCAUGUAAUAAUUUUUUAAGAGCUCGAUGACUACUUAUACUGAAACAAAGUUUGUUCAUCUCGAGAAGUACUCGAACUACUUAUAAUGAUUACUUAUAGUUCAACAAAUGUUCAACAGAACUUUGAGUUCACUUUCACCGCAUAUUACAAUUGAUGAAAAUGAAUAGGAUGUUUAUAAUUUAUAUGUAGGUAGCUUCUAUUUGGAAGAGGCAAAUCACAAUUCACACAAAAAUUGCCUAAGGAUGACACAAGCAAACCCUGCAAGGUAACUUCCUUCUUGGGUUAUAAGGUUGGAAUGAACCACAUUGUGAGAGAAGUUGAAAAUUUUGUAUCAAGUAAAAUCACUCUUUCAUUUAUAGCAUUUCAGUUUAGUAUUCAUAUUUUCAGCAUAGAUAUUAUCAUUUAGACUCUGGCUUCAACAAAUUGUACAAAAAGCUAUCAAAUUUGUACAAAAGAAGGCUAAAGGAGGAUAGAGCCGAGGAUUUACUGGAAAGCUUAAAGAAAAAAAAAGAACAAUAAAAAGAGUAAAGAGGGAGACGUGAUCUUCGUUCAAAAAAAGUAUUGUUGCCUCAAAGUUUCCAUCUUUCAUAGUUUUGUCUAUGAAUAAGUGAAUGGGCAUAUAGAAGAUACUCCAACUAAUUUGGGAUUGUGGCACAUUUGGUUGAUUAUACUCACCUAAUUAAAUACAAGUAAUUAACCUUAAUGUAUUAUAUCCAAUCUUCAAACCCAUUAACUAUCUUUUUAAAUGUUUGAUUAAAAUAUUUGCAUUCUGAGCUAUUUUAGUUUUAAGCUUCAUGGGCAAAAUUUAUUGAUCACUCAAAUGGCCCCUAAAUUGAUUUGCAUCUUGCUCUUCUCUUUGACGAACUACUUGAUAACUUUUAGUCUUUAGAUAUGCAAGAGGAGUGAGUCCAUUUUUGUGAGACUGACCUUUUCAUUCAGUUUUCACCUAUAUUGUUCGGACUCUUCAAAAAUGGCAAUGGGUGCAUUUUAGAUUCUCCAAAAGUAGUGUAUAUUUGAAGAAUGUGAAACGGGUGCGACAUUGAAGGGUAGAUAAACAACUUCAAUUUUAAUAUGCUUUUUGCUUCAGCAGUCCUUGCCAAUCUAACAUGACUGUUUUCUUUGCUUUCAGAUAAUUGAGAUAGGCAACACUCAUUUGCUUGGAGUAUCAAGUUUUGUAGGAUUCUUUUUCAUAAUUUCUCAGAAAUAUGUAAUUCUCAACGGAUUAUCUACUUGUGUCCUUGGAAUCUUUUCUUCUUUCUAAUUUCCUUUUGUAUUGAAAAUAGGUGCAACUUGAACCAACUUUUUUUUUAUCUCUGGGAAUAGGAAAAUGGGAGUAUUACAUGGUGUCCGCUUCGUAACUUCACAGACACUCGUCAAAUUUUAUUUUUGAGAAUUGGCAAGAGAGAGUUACAUGUGAAUGAGUGUAAAAUUAACUGACGAGGAUAUAACAAGACAUGUUGAGAUGGUUCGGAAAGCAUUCCAAAGAAUUCCAAGUACUAUGGAGACAGGCAACACUCCUUUACUUGAAGAAUCUGCAAUUCUCAAUGGGUUAUUUGCUUAUGUCCUUGAAAUCUUUUCUUUGUGAGCAUUUACAUGGUGUCCACUUUGUGAUUUCACAACACUCAUCAAAUUUUACUUUUUGGAAUUGGCAAAGAGAGAGGUACAUGUUAAUGGGUGUAAAAUUAUCUGGUGAGGCUAACCAAGACAUGUUGGAAUGGUUCGGAAAGCAUUUCAAGUUGUGUUGUCAUACGGGCAUCUUGAACUGCAAGUGUUUGGAGAUUUUCUAUCUCAAGAUAUAUGAAGUACUGGCAUGUUGCAUCGAUGUGGCUCCACAUUUGCUAAAACAAUUCUCAUUUUCUGAGAUCAAAUCUGAAAUCAAUGAUUGUUAGAUUUUACUUGAAGCAUUUGUCUCAUAAGACUGAGUUGGAUUGUGCUCAUGGCGUAUGACCAGAUGAAGAGUGAAGUUAGUUUAUGGAUAGUAUAAAUAUUGCAAACUUGAACUUUCCGAACUAUGGAUAAGAUAGGGUGUAAUAGGCGACUCAAUUGCAAUUAUCUUGGACUUCUUUUUACAUAAAGAAAUUCUAUGUUUCAUUCAAUUAUGUAAGCAAGUACAAAAAUGUCUUGCUAAUGUUAACUUCAGCGGUUAGCCAA